rnacentral:rRNA from 1 species
AUGAACGCUAGCUACAGGCUUAACACAUGCAAGUCGAGGGGCAUCAGGAAGAAAGCUUGCUUUCUUUGCUGGCGACCGGCGCACGGGUGAGUAACACGUAUCCAACCUGCCCUUUACUCGGGGAUAGCCUUUCGAAAGAAAGAUUAAUACCCGAUAGUAUAAUGAUUCCGCAUGGUUUCAUUAUUAAAGGAUUCCGGUAAAGGAUGGGGAUGCGUUCCAUUAGGUUGUUGGUGAGGUAACGGCUCACCAAGCCUUCGAUGGAUAGGGGUUCUGAGAGGAAGGUCCCCCACAUUGGAACUGAGACACGGUCCAAACUCCUACGGGAGGCAGCAGUGAGGAAUAUUGGUCAAUGGGCGCUAGCCUGAACCAGCCAAGUAGCGUGAAGGAUGAAGGCUCUAUGGGUCGUAAACUUCUUUUAUAUAAGAAUAAAGUGCAGUAUGUAUACUGUUUUGUAUGUAUUAUAUGAAUAAGGAUCGGCUAACUCCGUGCCAGCAGCCGCGGUAAUACGGAGGAUCCGAGCGUUAUCCGGAUUUAUUGGGUUUAAAGGGAGCGUAGGUGGACUGGUAAGUCAGUUGUGAAAGUUUGCGGCUCAACCGUAAAAUUGCAGUUGAUACUGUCAGUCUUGAGUACAGUAGAGGUGGGCGGAAUUCGUGGUGUAGCGGUGAAAUGCUUAGAUAUCACGAAGAACUCCGAUUGCGAAGGCAGCUCACUGGACUGCAACUGACACUGAUGCUCGAAAGUGUGGGUAUCAAACAGGAUUAGAUACCCUGGUAGUCCACACAGUAAACGAUGAAUACUCGCUGUUUGCGAUAUACAGUAAGCGGCCAAGCGAAAGCAUUAAGUAUUCCACCUGGGGAGUACGCCGGCAACGGUGAAACUCAAAGGAAUUGACGGGGGCCCGCACAAGCGGAGGAACAUGUGGUUUAAUUCGAUGAUACGCGAGGAACCUUACCCGGGCUUAAAUUGCAGUGGAAUGAUGUGGAAACAUGUCAGUGAGCAAUCACCGCUGUGAAGGUGCUGCAUGGUUGUCGUCAGCUCGUGCCGUGAGGUGUCGGCUUAAGUGCCAUAACGAGCGCAACCCUUAUCUUUAGUUACUAACAGGUUAUGCUGAGGACUCUAGAGAGACUGCCGUCGUAAGAUGCGAGGAAGGUGGGGAUGACGUCAAAUCAGCACGGCCCUUACGUCCGGGGCUACACACGUGUUACAAUGGGGGGUACAGAAGGCAGCUAGCGGGUGACCGUAUGCUAAUCCCAAAAGCCUCUCUCAGUUCGGAUCGAAGUCUGCAACCCGACUUCGUGAAGCUGGAUUCGCUAGUAAUCGCGCAUCAGCCACGGCGCGGUGAAUACGUUCCCGGGCCUUGUACACACCGCCCGUCAAGCCAUGGGAGCCGGGGGUACCUGAAGUACGUAACCGCAAGGAUCGUCCUAGGGUAAAACUGGUGACUGGGGCUAAGUC